rnacentral:rRNA from 1 species
UACGUAGGGUGCAAGCGUUGUCCGGAUUCAUUGGGCGUAAAGGGUGUGUAGGUGGCGCCGUAAGUCGGGUGUGAAAUUUCGGAGCUUAACUCCGAAACUGCAUUCGAUACUGCGGUGCUUGAGGACUGGAGAGGAGACUGGAAUUCCCAGUGUAGAGGUGAAAUGCGCAGAGAUCGGGAGGAACACCCGUAGCGAAGGCGGCACUCUGGGCCGGUACUGACGCUCAGGAGCGAAAGCGUGGGGAGCAAACAGG